rnacentral:rRNA from 1 species
UACGUAGGUGGCAAGCGUUAUCCGGAUUUAUUGGGUGUAAAGGGCGUGUAGGCGGGAGCGCAAGUCAGAUGUGAAAACUCAGGGCUCAACCCUGAGCCUGCAUUUGAAACUGUGUUUCUUGAGUGCUGGAGAGGCAAUCGGAAUUCCGUGUGUAGCGGUGAAAUGCGUAGAUAUACGGAGGAACACCAGUAGCGAAGGCGGAUUGCUGGACAGUAACUGACGCCGAGGCGCGAAAGCGUGGGGAGCAAACAGG